rnacentral:lncRNA from 1 species
UGAAGCAUCCUGGAUCCUCUAACUUCUCUGGAACAUCAAGCCUCUGGAUGAUGGCACUGCACUCAUGGGUAAGAAUCAUCAUGCCUUCCAUCUCCUUCUUCUUUGCAGCUACAACAUCUUUCAGGAACUUGUUGUAUUGAGGAAUCAACAUGAAAGCAUCGAUGAUGGGCAUUGCAACCUGAGCUUCACUCAUUUGCUUCUCAAACAGAGCCUUGUACUUCUCUAGCAGCUGCUUCUUGAAUCUACCAGGGAAUGGAAGUUUGGGUUCAUAGGGGGGAGGAACAGAAGAAUUCUCACUUGCUGGAACAGCAGCUUCACCAUCUUGUAUUGUUUUCUUCUCUUCUCCAACCUUUCCUUUACCUUUA